AGCGAACGCUGGCGGCAGGCUUAACACAUGCAAGUCGAACGGUCCUUCGGGAUAGUGGCGGACGGGUGAGUAACACGUGGGAACGUACCCUUAGGUUCGGAACAACACAGGGAAACUUGUGCUAAUACCGGAUAAGCCCUUCAGGGGAAAGAUUUAUCGCCUUUGGAGCGGCCCGCGUCUGAUUAGCUUGUUGGUGAGGUAAUGGCUCACCAAGGCUACGAUCAGUAGCUGGUCUGAGAGGAUGGCCAGCCACACUGGGACUGAGACACGGCCCAGACUCCUACGGGAGGCAGCAGUGGGGAAUCUUGCGCAAUGGGCGAAAGCCUGGCGCAGCCAUGCCGCGUGGAUGAUGAAGGUCUUAGGAUUGUAAAAUCCUUUCACCGGGGACGAUAAUGACGGUACCCGGAGAAGAAGCCCCGGCUAACUUCGUGCCAGCAGCCGCCGCCG
rnacentral:rRNA from 1 species